UUGAUUUAGUCUGAUAACGUACCAUACUUGAAGUUAUCUCUUUCUAAUCGCUUUAGAAAAAUAGUUUGAAAAAUUUUAUUAAACACAUUACACUUAAUCUGUCACUUUUAUUUGUUGGAGCAAAUAAUCAUGAUUUUAUUUGCCGGUGAGGAUGUCGAGCAAUUGCUCAACGCGCCACAGCCGUCUAAUCGCUGGUCCAGGUUGCUGCACAAGGAGUUUACUUAUUGGUUUGGCAGUGUCGAUGCGCUAAGUUUCCUAAUAUUGAUACUGUUUUUUCGUAUGAUAGAUGUGUAUGCAAUUUAAAUGAAAUUUAAUAAAAAUGAAAUGUAAGAAAUGUGAAUAAAAUAUAU